rnacentral:rRNA from 1 species
AGAUUGAACGCUGGCAGAAUGCUUUACACAUGCAAGUCGAGCGGCAGCGCGGGGCAACCUGGCGGCGAGCGGCGAACGGGUGAGUAAUACAUCGGAACAUGUCCAUUCGUGGGGGAUAGCCCGGCGAAAGCCGGAUUAAUACCGCAUACGCCCGAGAGGGGAAAGCGGGGACUCGCAAGAGCCUCGCGCGAUUGGGUUGGCCGAUGUCCGAUUAGCCAGUUGGUAGAGGUAAAGGCUCACCAAGGCGAUGAUCGGUAGCUGGUCUGAGAGGAUGAUCACGCCACACGUGGACGUAGAGACGACGGACCCGAGACUCCUAACGGGAGGACGAGCGAGGU